GCCAGCGCCAGGUAAGACUAGGGGAUAGCCAGAGUCAGGUAAGACUAGGGGAGAGCCAGGUAAGACUAGGGGAGAGCCAGAGUCAGGUAAGACUAGGGGAGAGCCAGAGCCAGGUAAGACUAGGGGAGAGCCAGAGCCAGGUAAGACUAGGGGAGAGCCAGAGCCAGGUAAGACUAGGGGAGAGCCAGAGCCAGGUAAAUCUAGGGGAUAACCAGAGUCAGGUAAGACUAGGGGAGAGCCAGGUAAGACUAGGGUAAAGCCAGGUAAGACUAGGGGAGAGCCAGCGCCAGGUAAGACUAGGGGAGAGCCAGAGUCAGGUAAGACUUGAGGAGAGCCAGAGUCAGGUAAGACUAGGGGAGAGCCAGAGUCAGGUAAGACUAGGGGAGAACCAGGUAAGACUAGGGGAGAGCCAGCGCCAGGUAAGACUAGGGGAUAGCCAGAGUCAGGUAAGACUAGGGGAGAGCCAGGUAAGACUAGGGGAGAGCCAGAGUCAGGUAAGACUAGGGGAGAGCCAGGUAAGACUAGGGUAAAGCCAGGU